GCGGUUGUGGUGGAAUGGCAGACACGCUGUCUUCAGGUGGCAGUGCUUUCGAGCGUGCGGGUUCAAGUCCCGCCAACCGCACCA
rnacentral:tRNA from 1 species